GCAUUGGUGAUUUAGUGGUAGAAUUCUUGUCUGCCAUGCAGGAGACCCAGGUUCAAUUCCUGGCUAAUGCA